rnacentral:lncRNA from 7 species
CUAACAGAAUGUUAAUGAACGGAUAUCAUCCUAGCUUGAAGAUAAGAUACACCUUUGAAAUGAAUAUAUGUGUUUGUCCCACCUGAACACCCUGUUAAUCAAGUUAGCGACAUGCAACAUCUCACUUACUAUCUGCAAAAAGAAAAUUAAAAUGGCAUUUUGCCUUUUUCCAAUGGUAGAGCAGAGAAACUGUGGAUAUAGAACAACUAGCUAUCAGCGGAGAAAUUUCUAUUUUGCCUCUGUUAUGAUCUUGGCAGACCUUUCUUUGGCAUGCUUUAACUCAUUCAAAGUAC